rnacentral:rRNA from 1 species
UGAGUGCGAGCUGCUACGGCAGCGAAGUGGGUGACGUCAAGCUUCCAAGAAAAGCCCUAUACCCAUUAAGGCAUGACGGCCUGUACCCGAAACCGACACAGGUGGGGUGGUAGAGAAUACCGAGGGGCGCGAGGUAACUCUCUCUAAGGAACUCGGCAAAAUGGCCCCGUAACUUCGGGAGAAGGGGUGCCACCGCAAGGUGGUCGCAGUGAAGAGGCCCAGGCGACUGUUUACCAAAAACACAGGUCUCCGCUAAGUCGCAAGACGAUGUAUGGGGGCUGACGCCUGCCCAGUGCCGGAAGGUUAAGGAAGCUGGUCAGCGUAAGCGAAGCUGGCGACUGAAGCCCCGGUGAACGGCGGCCGUAACUAUAACGGUCCUAAGGUAGCGAAAUUCCUUGUCGGGUAAGUUCCGACCCGCACGAAAGGCGUAACGAUCUGGGCGCUGUCUCGGAGAGAGGCUCGGCGAAAUAGAAUUGUCUGUGAAGAUGCGGACUACGUGCACCCGGACAGAAAGACCCUAUGAAGCUUUACUGUAGCUUGGUAUUGUGCCCGGGCUCUGAAUGCGCAGGAUAGGUGGGAGGCUUUGAUCCAUUGCUUGUGGGUGAUGGUGAGCCAACGGUGAGAUACCACUCUUUCAGAGCUAGGGUUCUAACGGUCACCCGUCAUCCGGGGACCGGACAGUAUCAGGUGGGCAGUUUGACUGGGGCGGUCGCCUCCUAAAAUGUAACGGAGGCGCGCAAAGGUUCCCUCAGGCUGGUUGGAAAUCAGCCGACGAGUGUAAAGGCAGAAGGGAGCUUGACUGUGAGACCUACAAGUCGAACAGGGACGAAAGUCGGCCUUAGUGAUCCGACGGUUCUGAGUGGAAGGGCCGUCGCUCAACGGAUAAAAGUUACUCUAAGGAUAACAGGCUGAUCUCCCCCAAGAGUUCACAUCGACGGGGAGGUUUGGCACCUCGAUGUCGGCUCAUCGCAACCUGGGGCUGAAGUCGGUCCCAAGGGUUGGGCUGUUCGCCCAUUAAAGCGGUACGCGAGCUGGGUUCAGAACGUCGUGAGACAGUUCGGUCCAUAUCCGGUGCAUGCGCAGGAAUAUUGAGAGGAUUUCUCCCUAGUACGAGAGGACCGGGAGGAACGCACCUCUGGUGUGCCAGUUAUCGUGCCAACGGUAAACGCUGGGUAGCCAUGUGCGGAGUGGAUAACCGCUGAAAGCAUCUAAGUGGGAAGCCCACCUCAAGAUGAGUAUUCCCAUGGCGUUAGCCAGUAAGGUCACGGGCAGAACACCCGUUGAUAGGCUCUACGUGGAAGCCGGGUAACCGGUGAGGCGGAGGAGUACUAAUAGACCGAGGGCUUGAC